rnacentral:rRNA from 1 species
AGUGAACGCUGGCGGUAGGCCUAACACAUGCAAGUCGAACGGCAGCACAGUAAGAGCUUGCUCUUACGGGUGGCGAGUGGCGGACGGGUGAGGAAUACAUCGGAAUCUACUUUUUCGUGGGGGAUAACGUAGGGAAACUUACGCUAAUACCGCAUACGAUCUACGGGUGAAAGCAGGGGAUCUUCGGACCUUGCGCGAUUGAAUGAGCCGAUGUCGGAUUAGCUAGUUGGCGGGGUAAAGGCCCACCAAGGCGACGAUCCGUAGCUGGUCUGAGAGGAUGAUCAGCCACACUGGAACUGAGACACGGUCCAGACUCCUACGGGAGGCAGCAGUGGGGAAUAUUGGACAAUGGGCGCAAGCCUGAUCCAGCCAUACCGCGUGGGUGAAGAAGGCCUUCGGGUUGUAAAGCCCUUUUGUUGGGAAAGAAAAGCAGCAGGUUAAUACCCUGCUGUUCUGACGGUACCCAAAGAAUAAGCACCGGCUAACUUCGUG